UACGGGGGGGGUAAGCGUUGUUCGGAAUUACUGGGCGUAAAGGGCUCGUAGGCGGCCAACUAAGUCAUACGUGAAAUCCCUCAGCUUAACUGGGGAACUGCGUGUGAUACUGGAUGGCUUGGAUUUGGGAGAGGGAUGCGGAAUUCCAGGUGUAGCGGUGAAAUGCGUAGAUAUCUGGAGGAACACCGGUGGCGAAGGCGGCAUCCUGGACCAAUAUUGACGCUGAGACGCGAAAGCGUGGGGAGCAAACAGGG
rnacentral:rRNA from 1 species